AACGAGCGCAACCCUUGCCUUUAGUUGCCAGCAGUUCGGCUGGCACUCUAAAGGGACUGCCGGUGUUAAACCGGAGGAAGGUGGGGGAUGACGUCAAGUCCUCAUGGCCUUUAUGACCAGGGCUACACACGUACUACAAUGGCCGAUACAAAGGGCAGCGACACUGCGAGGUGAAGCCAAUCCCGUAAAAUCGGUCUCAGUCCGGAUUGGAGUCUGCAACUCGACUCCAUGAAGUUGGAAUCGCUAGUAAUCGUGGAUCAGCAUGCCACGGUGAAUACGUUCCCGGGCCUU
rnacentral:rRNA from 1 species